CUGAAGCGUAGAACGUCAGCACGCUGAGUUAGCGCAGAAGAGGCGGGUGGGGAGGGGGCGAUUCUACAGUCCGGGAAGAGCCGAGGGAGUGGUCCCUGCCUGGGGGAAUCGGCGCCCAGCUUUCCUUUUAGCCAUGUGGCUCAUGCACCAGUCAAGAUUGUAGUUGAAAUGCUGUUUAGAAUAUAAUAAAGGAAAGGAAAGGAACAGUAAAUCAACCAUAUAUGUAUGAAGGAUUGGUCUUAUACCCAAGUGGAGAAGAAACAUAAGUGUUUAAUUGCAGCAAUAAAGACAAAAGCCAUUUAAUAAUAUUUCUCUACCAUCACUGCUG